UAUUCCAGCUCACCACUACCAGAGCCAACUACUGUGCUACUGCCUCCCGCUGUAGGAGAGAUUACUUUGCUGCCUCGUGUCUCCUUACCCAGGCGUCUCGGCUCCGGGAGCCCAAGUCCGGAGUGGGCCGCGGUACACUUGGAACAGGCUCGGAGGGAGGGGGUCUGCACGGCCACCAGAACCAAGCCAUGGAGCUUGGGGAGUCGGGGAAGGUUCCUGUGACCUUUGAUGACGUCACCCUGUACUUGCUGCAGGAAGAGUGGCUGCUGCUGGGUAAGCCGCAGAAGGACUUCUCUACUACCGACAAGCUGACAGCACCUCGAGGAAAAACCCAUGUGAACUGUAUGGAAGAAAUAGAUACGUAGGGAUCCACCAGAGAGAAAGGACAGUACCUGCCACUGCAAAAGGAAUCCUGCCGUGCUCACUUCAGUACAGAGAGCAGCACAACGGGGGAAGACUGGACAGGAGGAAACAAGAAACUGCCCAAGCCCCGCUCCAUCCAGAAGUCAUGGUUUACAAAGUUUCCGUGGUUGAUUGUGAAUGAGGAACAGGCAGCUCUGUUUUGGGCUGUCUGCCGAGAAUACUCAUCUGUCAAAGACAGAAGGUCACAGUUAAUAGAAGGCUACACAGCACCAUUCAAGGUGGAAACUCUCAAAUACCACGCCAAGAGCAAGGCCCACAUAUUCUGUGUCAAUGCCCUGGCUGCCAAGGACCCCAUCUGGGCAGCCCGCCUUCAGUGUCUCAGGGAGAGUCCUGCAGAUAUCCUGGCCAGCCCUGAACACCUCCUCACUGCAGAUGACCCCACACUCUACCUGCCAGGGCCUCUGGGGGACUUUGAUGGCCUAGAUGAACUCUUGUCUAGCCCAAGAGCUGAACCAGAGGAUGCUUCAGGGAGUGGAGCCAUCCCUGCAUUGUAUUUAGACUGCGAGUCGGAUCUGAGGCAAAAAGAAAUUGGCAGUGACAUCCUCGGUCCCUCAAAUAGCAGCACGUUAUUUAAGGACAGUAUUGAUUUCUGCAGCCAGGAGCCUCCUGACAAGGAGUGGGCUAAGGCUUCCAGGACGGCCGGGGAGCUCCCUGCAACGUUUGAGGACUUGGCCGUGUGUUUCAGUCGGGAGGAGUGGAGCCUGCUGGACAAGCAGCAGAAGGAGCUCUACAGGGAUGGGAUGCAGAUGAGCUAUGAGCUGCUGGCUUCCCUGGAGCCUCCUGCUGCCAAACCAGACUUGAUCACAAAACUGGAACAGAGAGCUGCGCCCUGGAUCAAGGACCCUGAUGGGUUAAAGCCAGGGAAAAGUCCCUCCCUAGGGAGAAAGAAGAGGGUGGUGGUGAGAGAAGCCAACAGCCAGACCCGGGCCUCAGCUAUAGAGUCCAUCUCACACGCAGCCUCUGUGGAGGCAGGUGACACGCACUGCCCUCCCAGCAUGUGUGGAGGAGAAGUGGACAGACCCAGGAGUGUUAAGAGCGUAUACAGGCCCGGUUCCAUUCAAAGGUCAUGGUUUGGGCAGUUUCCCUGGCUAGUCAUGGACUCCAAAGAGACCAAGCUGUUCUGCUCUGUGUGCAUAGAAAGACCAACUCUCCAUGACAAGUCGUCCCGCUUGGUCCAAGGUUACAUUGGGCCAUUUAAAGUGGAAACUAUAAAAUACCACGAGGUCAGUAAGGCGCACAAAUUGUGCGUCAACACCGUGGAGGUCAGAGGUGACAGCUCUCAGCCUGCCCUCCGCCCAGAGGUCUCCAGUGACCUCAUGGCUAACAUGGAGCCCUUCUUCAGUGCCGCCUACUCCAUUGCCUACCACUCCAGGCCUCUGAACGACUUCCACAAGGUCUUGCAACAGCUCCAGUGCACUGGCACCACACUGACGGAACCGCACCGCGUGUACCCAGUUCAUCAAGUGCAUCUCCGACACUCUGAAGAAGGAAAUCCUCAGAGACGUCCGGAGCUCCCCGUGUGGGAGCCUGCUAUUGGACAGCUGCGUGGACUCCUCCAGCCAGGCCUGCGUGGGGAUAUACAUGCGCUACUUGAAGCAGACGGAGGUGAAGGAGUCCUACUUCAGCCUGGUCCCUCUCUGCAGUGAGACGGUAGACAGGUACUUCGAGACGUCACUGCUGCCCUGGAUGAGCUGGAGGUCUCUUUCCGGAAGCCUGGUUGGGUGGUGGGGCUGGGGACUGAUGGGUCUGCCACGCUGGGCAGCAAGGGAGGCCUCGUGGAAAAGUUCCGGGAGAUCCUCCCUCUGCUGCUGCCCGCGCACAGUGUGGCCCAUGGGCUGCACGUGGCUGUGGUGGAUGCUUGUGGUAACAUCUACCUGGUGAGGAAGUGUGACCGGCACAUCCGGACUGUCUUCAAGUUUUAUCAGUCCUCACACAAGAGGCUCAGUGAGCUGCAGGCUGUCGCAGCCCCGCUGGAGCAGGAAAUCCUUCGUCUGAAGGACUUGAGCGCCGUCAGGUGGGUGGCCAGCAAAAGGCGCACUCUGAAUACGUUCGUCAUGAGCUGGAGCUCCAGAGUGUGGUGGAGGCUGGGGUACAGGUCGGUCAGAGGGCCAAAGGCAUGCUGAAGCUAAUGAAGGGCUUCCAUUUCAUCAAGUUCUGCCACUUCAUUUUGGAUUUUCUGAGCAUCUAUGAGCCUCUGUCCGAGGUAUGCCAGAAGGAUCUUGCGCUGGUCACAGAGCUGGAUUCGACUCUGGGGCGUGCCUAUGUGGCACUGGAGAGUCUCCGGCUACAGGCAGGGCCUAAAGAAGAAGAGUUCAAUGCUGGCUCCCAGGACGGGCAGCUCCACGGCAUCUUUCUGAACAGAGUAGAGAUGGCUGAGCAGCGAUUCCAGUCAGACAGGGAGAGGAUGAUCCUGACGGGGGCUGAGUACCUCCAGCAGAGGUUUAGUGCAGACCGGCCCGCCCAGCUCAGGAACAUGGAGGUGUUAGACACCACGGCCUGGACUGGCAGCACCGAACUGGCCUGCUUUGGGAAUGACGACAUUCUCAGCCUUGCCAAGUACUGCACGCUUUCUCUCCCAGCGGGAUACAGCGAGGAAGCCCUGCUGAAGGAGUGGCAGAGCUUGAAAGCAGCCACCCAGAACCUUUUGUUCUCCAUGCUGUGUAAGUGUGCCCUGACUCAGCACUGCUGAUUCCCUCUGCUGAGAAGAUUCGUGGUUGUGGUGGUCAGUGUGCCCAUCUCCACUUCCUGCUGUGCACGGGGGUUCAAGGCCAUGAGCAAGAUCAGGACGGAGGAGAGGACCAAACUCUCCAAUGAGGUGCUCGACACACUUAUGAUGACAGCAGUGAAUGGUGUGGCAGUUGCAGAGUAUGACCCUCAGCCAGCCAGCCAGCACUGGCAUCUGACCUCUUCAGGACACCGCUUCAGCCACAUCUAUGCCUGUGCCCGGGAGCCUACCGGCUUCCAUGCCAAUCUGGGGCCCAGGAAGGAGGGGAUGGCAGGACCUUGUAAGGAGGACUCCAUGGCCCAGAAGACAUCCAUCAUGCCAUCUGGGGAGCCAUGAGGCUUAGAAGAUCACAUGAUGAAGGUUCCUGUCCCCUAUACCGUCUCAAAGACCCCGUGGACCUGAAGAGGAGUGGCCUAGACAAGGCUUUGCGGCCCCCUUGAAUAUGGAGAGAGGCUUUCUGAAGAUUCUAGGCUGUCCUGGUGUGAUACUUUACAGGCCCAGAAAGUGGGCAACGACAAAGGGUUGAAGCAGACAUCCCCGAGGGGCAAGGCCCUCAAGGUGUGGCCACGCCUCCCAAUGCAAAAAGCACAUCAGACAAGCACUUACCUCAAGUCUACUUUGCCCAAAGAAUUCUGCCAUGAGAGAGUUCACCCCAUAUACUCUUGGCAGAGGGCUCUCCUGAGGUGGGACAGUAGGGGUGGUGGGUGAAAGGACCACCCUAGUUCUCUGCAUCCCUGGCACAUGAGGAAGGCUGUUUGACUGUGGAAGUGAUUGUGCUCCAGGGACCUUGGCCCGCUGCAGAAGCUCCCAGGAUUGGCCAUUGUGAACCACUCAUGCAGAGAGUCAAGGAGACCUUACCCUCAAGGCCUGCCGUUAGCACGAACCAGACCAACCUCCUGUGCACAGAGCAUGAGAAAGGUGGUCUCACCACAUCUCCUAUGUAGCUCGGCAUGCUUCCUCUGAAGGGAGCCUGGUGUUCCCUCCACCUCUGAACCCGUAGGUUGGCUGCUGUGGUUCCAGAUAUAGUUUCCUAAAGAAUACACAUGAGGAGGGAGCUAAAGGUGUUGGAUCCAGGCCAGCUCUUCUGCAGCCAGUGUGCCUCUGAUCCCUUCCUCUUUUCCAUGCCUUACUUUCACUCCUCAUGUGGAUACCACAGAGAAUCCAAGUGCCUGUUAACUCCCUGUGGCCAUAGUCAGUGGGAGCCUCGAAGUCCUGGAGAGAAGGGCUUGUCUAGAGCACUUAGCUGCUCCUAUCCUGCACUUGUCCUUUGCAGUAAAGGCGUCAGCUUUGCCACUAGAGUCACACUGUAGCAGAGGUGCUGUCCGUCUACAGGGCAGAUGCACCCGUCCUACAGAAAGCUCUGCAGACUGCUCAAAAGCACCGGAACUUGGUAAAUUCUCCCCAUCCUGGACGUGUAGACUUGAACUCUCCAAACCAGCUCCAUAGCUAUGGCUUCUCAUAGUUUCCUCAGGAUCUUUGUGGGUGCCUCUGGCUUAACGGCCACUUCUGCUCUCAUAGAAGGGCCUUCAGUAAAACUAGGUCUUUGGGGCCUCUCCCAUUGUCCCCUGUGUGGUGAGGUGAAGCACAUUCCUUCCAGGGCAGCCUGACCUUGCAGGCCCAGUGGUUGCCUAUUUGGUUAGGAUCAAUGUUCUAGGCUCUGCCUUCUUUGGCUUCAGGUUGGAGAAUUGCCCAAUGGAAGGGCUCCUUGCCCCAUGUCCUGCUCAUUCUAAAUGUGCAGGAGCCUUGCUUGCUGCCUCCUGCUGCAGACCCCUGGUCUGUGCCAUAAGCACACAGCCUCUGACCAAGCUACCUACCCACUCCUUCCAACACAUGCUGAAACCCCCAGAGAUUCUGCCAACCUUAUAGCUCUGCCCCAGCGCUUAGCCUUGGUAUGCAGUGCAGUUUUCCUGCUCAAGAAGAUCCCCCAUCCAGCCUGGGAGCUUGCAGAAAAGGGGCAGACAGGCCUUGGCUCCAAAUCUAGGAGAGGACCCAGGCAAAAUCUCGGAGUCCAGGAUUUUCCAGGUCAGGGUUGAGACAUCUGCUUGGCUUCAGUCAAGGUUGAAACAUCUGCUUGGCUUCAGCAAGCUCCUCUCCUAUGACAUCUUUCCUUUAAAAGUACCCUUAGCAACACAGCAGUCCUGUGUAAUGUAGCCAUGGUUUCUGGAAUGAGGUUUGGGGAGCUGAGGUGGCUACCAGGUGGAGAAGCACCCCAUCUUCUCCAUACUAGCACCCUGAGGUCACCUCCUGAUGUGGGUGGAGCAGGGUGUUUCUAGGUGGUAAUGCAUAGAGUAGGUUUCUCAGGCUAGGUGUUUGCCUUACUCAGGUUUUCCUAGCCUUUUGCCAGCUCAAGACAGAGAAGCAGUAUUCAUGUUUGGGCCCUGAAGGGCCUCAGGGGAAAACAAGCCAAAGGGCUUUGUGAGGAGGAGGAAUCACUAUCCCUUUGGGCCCAUCCCUAGCCUCCCCCUCCUUUCCUACCUUUUAACAUGCUUGACACCCCCUACCCAACUUCACCUGACUGUCUCUAUGCCGCCUCUGCUGCCCUGAAACUUGCUAUGAAUGUGGGCCAGCUUGAACUCACAGAGAUCCACGUGCCUUUGUCUCCCAGGUGCUGGAGUAAAGGCUUGUACCACACCCCUGACUCCUGCCUGUUCUAAUCUUGUAUAUUUCCUGGCUUGUAUCCCUCCCCUCGCCUGGUAACAGGUCUCCACUGGGCUGCUCCAAGUAGCCAACUUGGACUCAGUGCUUUGAUUUCAGUAGCCAUAGAGACAUGGGGAGGUGAGAAAGCUCAGCCCUGGCCAGCUGGACACAGUAGUGUAGCCACCCCAGACCUGUACCACAAAGGGCAACUCCCUAUGGUGCUAAGUGUGGUCAGGACAGUAUGGGGGUCACCAUUUCACUCAGACUGGCGUCUGUGUAGCCAGGGACAAAGAUGACUGGUCCAGGAUGCUCUGGGCUCCUGCUUUCAAGGAUGAACAAAUUAGGUUUAAAAACCAUGUUCCAAUCUUAACUUUUGCUAUUUGAAUAAAGCAGAAUUUGACUUU